CUGUAAUUUUAUUCCAAUUGAUCGUGCAUUAUUUCCUUUGUCUUUCCGGUGCUUUCGAAUUUCACGUGUAUAUGUACCUAUGCAUAUACGUAUAGCACGUUAGCUGUCACGCGAAAUUUCUAUACUCUGCCGCGAGCUAAAAUACAUCGAAAUAUGCUAUAGCGUAACGCUUAAUUUUUGCAACAUAUUACAUUUAAGAAAAAAUAUUUCAUGCAAUUGGAAUAUUUAAUUUAUAUAUUUGUUUACGUCAUUUUUUUACACUUAUUCGGAUCGUAAGAAACGAUUGUUCCAAGAAACUAUCGUGUUCCUUGGUACUUAAAAAAAUGUGACGAAUUUCUAAUAAAUUUCUAUGUAGUAUAUAAUAAGAUGGUAACUGAAAUGGCAAUUCUAAUUACCCGAAAUGGUAACUGAAAGUCCUCGAAAGGGACAAGGGUUACCGGUUAAGGGAUGAAAGGAGAGGGACAGCAGCUGUUCGAGAUUGAACCCUAGACAAAGAUUUUCGGUAGCGAUCCUUUUUCAAGGGACGAUGGUCAACACUGUGUUUUGCAUACCGGUCAAACGCGUCGGUAGAUGCAUCGACGAAUACCGAACGCGUUUCGUGUACGUAUUUAUAUCGUGAUCGCAACAUACCCGGUUUCAGUAUCGCCUCGUCCUUUCGAAGAGCGAGUUUAAUUAUAAGCCGAACAGUUAGUCCCCGUAAAUAAUGUGACGAUGCGUCCCGCGAGUGGUUGCAGCGUAUGUCCCCCAUGGGACAUUAAUUUUGCAACGAUCGAUAGUUACCCGACAUUUUCGAGUAAUUUUCAAGUGUUUUUUUAGCCCUUUUAAAUUCGAUUUCGUGAGUUGUUCUCUCGUUAAACGAUACCUAGAUAUAUUGCUGUUGUCGGUAAAAUUAAUUUUAAAGUCUACUCUGUUUUAUUUUCAUCGCAAAAGCAUCAGAAAAUAUGUGCGUUUAUUAUAGUAUCUCAUCGUAGCAUGGCGACUGGUGACGUUAUAGCCAAGUGGCGUCGUAUGAAUAGCAACUGCUAAUACACAAUGUCUGGAGAAACCUUCGAGGAAAAUACGAUCCCGGUCGAUCGAUACUCGUUGCAGUAAGAGAAAGAAUAAGAGAAAAAAGAAAGCUUCUCCGAUGGACUAGAGAGUGAAAGGGAUACACCGAUGGUUUUCGAAUAUCUAUACGAUCAUCGAUCGCAUCGAUUCGGCAAGCUUCCACGAGGAAGGAAAAUUGGUCCUGUUUCGUUUCAUCCUUAAUGGAUUGUCCUUUGCAGGGAUUUUACAUUGGUUGAAAUAAAGAUGCUUAGUUUCUGAACCCAUGUUAAUCUUUUAACUCCAUGAUGUUUUAGUAGGACAAAAAUGCAGAAAAUACUGAUAGCAGAAAAGACAUAACAAUGGCAGACAUUUUGAUCGUCCAUUGCCAUCGUUCAAUCCCACGAACUGCUCUAGGGGAGUGGGCAAGGAUACUCACCCCCGUUUCGAUCACCCUUGAAAAUAUUUCCAGCCAUUUUUCGCCCCACCAACAGGUCUAAGGGUGUGCAGGAGAAAGUGGAGGUAGAAACAAUGGAAAAAGUACCGCCAUCUUUAAUUCCGUCUCCGGCCACCUCCACUUCGUAGGCAGCCUACGCUCCCAGUCUUCGAGGUGAAGAAAGAAAAUGCCAAGAUCGAUAAAUUCUUCUUCUUAAGACUGUCUUUUACGUCCAGCGGGUCGAAGCUAUAUCUCAAAGCUAAUUCCGCGACUGCAGCAAGAGUAUUCCUUACCGAGCUUCGCUGUAAUCUUUUUUAGCAGGCAUCCAUAGUUUUUCAAAUAAAUAUACAAUGAAAUAAAUUAGUUUAAUCAGAUUGAUCAGAAUUCCAGGAGCAGAAGGAACGUAUAUAUUAAUAGCGUUAGCUUUAUUUUUGGUAAAUAGUUGGUCUAUUCCUUAUUUGGCAUUGCAGUAAAUCAUUUAAAACGUGCAUGUAGCUCUUAAUACGUAUAAUUACACGCAUUGGUAUUAGACAAAUUAGAAUUUAAGAAAUAAAAAGAAAGGAAAUAGUUAUUUGAAUAUAACAUAUAAAAAAGUACUUUUUAGUUUGAAUUAAUACAUAGUAGCAUUCGCAUAGCUUCGUAAUAAAUGAUGAGUGAUAAAUAUAGAGUUAGACUUAUAACAAAUAAGCAAAAAUGAAGAAAAUAUCCAUCCUGGAAGGGAAGUUUCGAACAAAAAAUUACGAAACGUAAAUCGAAUAUAUCGUCGCUUGACAAAGACACGAUUCGAUAUUCUGUAUACAUCAACCCCUUUAAAUUGGUAGUUACCAGAAGCCAGAAAAGAGGAUCGCAACAGGCACCUUCGUUUCCAACACGGCUUGAAUCAAAAAUAUACUUACUUACAAAUGAUAAAUCACGAUUCUCGGUAUAUCUUCCCAAGAUAAUAAUAUAUGUUUGCAAUACAGGCGAUUAAUACCAAGAAACACGAAUAUUAAAAAUCAAAUCAAAUUAAAUCGACACAACCACGGUGUGUAUCGAGUACUCGUAUGCAGCUUGUUUUCCGUGACGUUCCGAAUAUGAGAACAGUCCUGUCAUCUCUAUCCCCGAUUUCUGAACCUUUUAAAGACCUGCCUUUCC